rnacentral:rRNA from 2 species
AGAGUUUGAUCCUGGCUCAGAUUGAACGCUGGCGGCAGGCCUAACACAUGCAAGUCGAGCGGUAGAGAGAAGCUUGCUUCUCUUGAGAGCGGCGGACGGGUGAGUAAUGCCUAGGAAUCUGCCUGAUAGUGGGGGAUAACGUUCGGAAACGGACGCUAAUACCGCAUACGUCCUACGGGAGAAAGCAGGGGACCUUCGGGCCUUGCGCUAUCAGAUGAGCCUAGGUCGGAUUAGCUAGUUGGUGAGGUAAUGGCUCACCAAGGCUACGAUCCGUAACUGGUCUGAGAGGAUGAUCAGUCACACUGGAACUGAGACACGGUCCAGACUCCUACGGGAGGCAGCAGUGGGGAAUAUUGGACAAUGGGCGAAAGCCUGAUCCAGCCAUGCCGCGUGUGUGAAGAAGGUCUUCGGAUUGUAAAGCACUUUAAGUUGGGAGGAAGGGCAUUAACCUAAUACGUUAGUGUCUUGACGUUACCGACAGAAUAAGCACCGGCUAACUCUGUGCCAGCAGCCGCGGUAAUACAGAGGGUGCAAGCGUUAAUCGGAAUUACUGGGCGUAAAGCGCGCGUAGGUGGUUUGUUAAGUUGAAUGUGAAAUCCCCGGGCUCAACCUGGGAACUGCAUCCAAAACUGGCAAGCUAGAGUAUGGUAGAGGGUAGUGGAAUUUCCUGUGUAGCGGUGAAAUGCGUAGAUAUAGGAAGGAACACCAGUGGCGAAGGCGACUACCUGGACUGAUACUGACACUGAGGUGCGGAAGCGUGGGGAGCAAACAGGAUUAGAUACCCUGGUAGUCCACGCCGUAAACGAUGUCAACUAGCCGUUGGGAGUCUUGAACUCUUAGUGGCGCAGCUAACGCGUUAAGUUGACCGCCUGGGGAGUACGGCCGCAAGGUUAAAACUCAAAGGAAUUGACGG